AUCUUAUCAAGAGCAGGUGGAGGGACAGGCCCGAUGAAACCCGGCAACCGGCGUUUAACGACGCACGGUGCUAAUUCUUGCAGGAAAUGAUGCCCAUGGUGGCUUCAUUUGCUGAGAGAUGAGAG
rnacentral:ncRNA from 2 species